rnacentral:rRNA from 1 species
GAUGAACGCUGGCGGCGUGCUUAACACAUGCAAGUCGAACGAAGCACUUUUACGGAAGUUUUCGGAUGGAAGUGAUGGUGACUGAGUGGCGGACGGGUGAGUAACGCGUGGGUAACCUGCCUCAUACAGGGGGAUAACAGUUAGAAAUGACUGCUAAUACCGCAUAAGCGCACAGUAUCGCAUGGUACAGUGUGAAAAACUCCGGUGGUAUGAGAUGGACCCGCGUCUGAUUAGCUAGUUGGUGAGGUAACGGCCCACCAAGGCGACGAUCAGUAGCCGACCUGAGAGGGUGACCGGCACAUUGGGACUGAGACACGGCCCAAAAUCCUACGGGAGCAGCAGUGGGAAUAUUGCACAAUGGGCGAAAGCCUGAUGCAGCGACGCCGCGUGAACGAAGAAGUAUUCGGUAUGUAAAGUUCUAAUCAGCAGGGAAGAAAAUG